GUUAAUGUAGCUUAAUUUUUAAAGCAAGACACUGAAAAUGUCUAGACGGGUGAUUAUCAUCCCAUCAACA
rnacentral:tRNA from 1 species